AGCCCCCCUCCUCUGUUCUUUUCUUCUUUUCUCUUCUUAUUUGUCUUUCUUCAUCCUUCUUCGUUUUCUUUCUUCCUCUUCUCGCACGAACACAGUGAGGCAGAGAGAGAGUCGGAGAGACUGAGGGAGGAGAGAAACAAAGAGAGGGGAUAAGAGAUUGAGAGAUUGGGCGAGAGUGAGAGAUUGGGCGAGAGAGAGAGAGAGAGAGAGAGAGAGAGAGAGAGAGAGAGAGAGCUGGGAGUCGGGUGAAGCAUCGAUCGGAGCCGGAGCCAGAGGUGCAGAACCGGGGAAGAUCCGACCGUCAGGAGGCACCGAUUUCCGGUGGGUUUCGUGGAUCAUCGCCGGUGAACACAGGAGACCCGAGAGAUUUCCGCGGAAACCCGUCGAACCCGCCAGACCCGGGAGUGAAACCUGUGACCCGCUGAACCCGAGUGGAAAUCCGGUUUCCCAAGUGCGUUUUUCGGCUGUUACUGUGUGUUUUCCGGCGACUUCCAGAGACUAUUCCGGCGAUAUCUCCGUUCAAUAUUGAGCAGGGAGGCCUCGUUGACGUCCUUGCUGUUGAGCAGGUUGAUUGCCAGCUUCAGGCCCUGGGCGACAAGGGAGGAUAAGAGGAAGAAGCUGAAGGAGACAACCAGCAAAUGUGUUAUGUUUUAGGUGAUCAGCAACAAGUUUCAGCAGACUUGCGAAUAAAGUAUUAAAACAAAUAUCCCUGGAGGUAGGAACCCAUUGAACAGAAUCAUAUCUUUGGGUACCCAAACCUAAACUCAGUUGACCAUGCAUAAAUACUGCAGCCAUUGUAGAGUUGAUGGAAGGUCUGAAUCACAUAGUGCCAAAACUCUGAUUUACGCUAUGCUUUAACAUGUACACUAGUAACUCAUAGUUAAACUGAUAACACAAGCACCCAGAAUUUUAGUGCGAAACAUAGACCACAUUUCAAUUCAAUUCUUUUUAUCAAUUAAACACUUUGAUGUACAUCACCAACUUGAAGAGAGAUAGAGUUUUUAGCCAAUAAAAAGCCAUUUCAGUAAAAUCCCAACUUGAAGAGAGAUAGAGUUUUUAGCCAGUAAAAAGCCAUUUCAGUAAAAUCUGAAAUGGCGACUCAGAUCUGUUGGUGUACAUCACCAACAUACCCGAAGCUGUUGUCUUUCGGGUAUGGGCCGUAUGGCGACUCAGAUCUGCCAAGAAAAAGAGAAGGAAUUUAAGAAAAAUAAUAGAAUUGAGUGUGAAAUCAACAAAACCCAGAUUGACAUUUUGAUUUUCAUAGAUAUGGGAAGUAGAGAACAUAUAUGGGCCAUCAACAUUUUAAUCCAUCCAUGGUUAGAAAAAAAGAGAGAGAAAGAGGAAGACCCAUCCUUGGUUAAAUCUUAUUGCAAGUCUUGUUUUUCUGUCGAGAAAGACAAUCUCUUUACAGUGAGAAAUAAGAAGAUAAAGAAACCAUUUAAAAAAAAAAAAAAGUCAGCAAAGUCA